rnacentral:rRNA from 1 species
UACGUAGGGAGCAAGCGUUUGUCCGGAUUUAUUGGGCGUAAAGAGCUCGUAGGUGGCUUGGCAAGUCAGGUGUGAAAACUCCAGGCUCAACCUGGAGACGCCAUUUGAUACUGCCAUGGCUUGAGUUCGGUAGGGGACCACGGAAUUCCUGGUGUAGCGGUGAAAUGCGACAGAUAUCAGGAGGAACACCGGUGGCGAAGGCGGUUCUCUGGGCAUUACCUGACGCUGAGGAGCGAAAGUGUGGGGAGCGAACAGG